CAUGCGGUAGCUCAGUGGUAGAGCAUAUGCGAAGUAGUGAAAUGGAAACUACGCCAAAGGCCACGGCGACUAUCCAGAGUAGCGAAAGACGUAAGACUUUGGUUCGAUUCCAGACCGCAGUC
rnacentral:tRNA from 1 species